CUGAUUCCCUGUCUUCCAGAAGGAGAUGUCUCCCACCAUCAAGCAGAGGCUGGCCAGCACUCAGGAGAUGAAUCUGCCCGAGGUUGUCCAGCUUCAAGACAAGAGCAAGACCUCCAUCACAAGGCUUCCCUCCAGCUCAUCAAAAUACCUCAGUGUCCAGGUCCUGCUGUCAUUUCAAACUGCUGGUGGAGUUCCUUCAGCUGGGAGAAAGACAUGCCUCUGCAAUGGUAUUAAAUAUGAUGCCAGUAACAGAUUACAAGAAAGCAGACAUUUUAAGCUCAUGGAGAAAGGAGAUACCAACUCCCUACUUCCAAGUUGCCCAGAACUACUGAGAAAAGAGCUGAGGCUUAUCCCCAUCCAGCAUUCACCUCAUUAGUCAUUUUCCCAACUGCUCUGUUACUUUCCUUUUGUCCUUACUUCCUCUGGUAUGGUUAUUUUCUUACUGGUGUCUAAGCAUCAAAUAAAAAGAAGUAUUUGGACUUGUGUGGGACUUUG
rnacentral:lncRNA from 1 species